rnacentral:rRNA from 1 species
CGGGGUGCACCAGGCGCGAAAACUCCACAAUGUACGGAAGUACGAUGGGGUUAUCUCGAGUGCAGUCCGAUAAGGGCUGCUUUUCCAUAGAGUAAUAUCCUGUGGGAAUAAGAGGGGGGCAAGACUGGUGUCAGCCGCCGCGGUAACACCAGCCCCUCGAGUGGUGGGGACUAUUAUUUGGCCUAAAGCGUCCGUAGCUGGCUGUAUCCGUCCCCCGUUAAAUCCAGCGUCCUAAGCGUUGGACCGCGGGUGAUACCAUACAGCUAGAGGGUGGGAUAGGUGAGCGGUAUUUCUGGGGUAGGGGCGAAAUCCUUUGAUCCCAGGAGGACCACCAGUGGCGAAGGCUGCUCACUAGAACACGCCUGACGGUCAGGGACGAAAGCUGGGGCAGCGAACCGGAUUAGAUACCCGGGUAGUCCCAGCUGUAAACGAUGCUAGCUAGGUGUUGGGUCGGCCACGCGCCGCCCCAGUGCCGCAGGGAAGCCGUUAAGCUAGCCGCCUGGGGAGUACGGCCGCAAGGCUGAAACUUAAAGGAAUUGG